GAUUCAAGGCAGGCAGACCUUGCCAGAGCGCACACCCGGGCUCUCCGUGCGUAGCCUAACUCUCCCACGCUCCUGGGGAGGUGAGUUCAAGCGGGAGCUGCUGACCGGCCGGCAAAGCUGGGGUGUGCAGCGGGUUGGCCACAGCAACAGCUUCCCUCCCGCUUCCUGUGUUUGCAAUGAGCUCAGCAAGAAACGUCUGCGUGUCAAAACAUUUUUAGUUUUGUUUCCUCUUUGUAUGUGUGCGACUGUGUGCAUGUGUGAAUGUGUGUACCUGUGUGUGAGAGCAUGUGUGUGUGUGUAUGUGAUGCAUGUGGGAAAAUGUGUGUGUGAUGUGUGAGUGUGUGCAAGUGAAAGUGUGGUGUGUGUGAGUGUAUGUAUAUAUGUGCAUGCGUGUGUGUGUGUGUGUGUGUGUGUGUGUGUGUGUGUACUGGCAUGUGUGGAGACCGGAAGCCAACCUCGCUUGUUGGUUUUUCUUUUUUUCCUAUGUUGAUAAGACAUCUCAUCAGCCUGAGGUUCUCUGAUUAGCAUAACCUGGUAGAGCAACAAGCCCGAGCGAUCUGCUCAUCUGCUCCCACAGUGCCAGGCUGUUCGGAACCACACCCAGAUUGCAGCUGACUCAUGAACUCUGUUUAGUCAGCUCUCUGCAUCUGCCGGUUCCAAAUGCCCAGAGUUAACCAACCCUAAACAGCAGGUAUUCAAGAAAAACCCUGGGUCCGUCCUAAACGUGAACAGAGCUCCUCGCCGCUGCUCCCUUCGCAGAGCAGAGACAGUGCAGAGGAGCACCGAGCCAGCAGCGGCCACGAGGUAUCGGGUAGCAGACGUCAUCUGGGGGUGGGUGGCUUAAAUGUGCACAAGAGGGGGUGUGCGCUAUGCUCGAGGAACACGCGGAACCUGUCCCUUUGUGUCAAGAACUCGGGCAUCUGUGGAUCUGGGAAUGGAGACGAGAGCCUGGAGUCAGUUCUCUACAGAUCCCGGGAGGUGAUCACAGUGACUUCCAGACGGAUUUAGAAGAAUAAGAAAUGACAUAACGUGGCGUGUGCUGGGCUGGGACAGAACUGAAUCAAACGGAGCACACAGUGAGGAGAAGGACAGAGGAGGCAGGAAUUGAUUUUAACUUUCCUUCAGCUGUCAAGCCACCUCCUAAAUAGAUGAAGCUGUAAAUACAGGACAGAGAAUAGAUCACGCUGACGCUUCAGACACUGGUGUGCAGAACGGCACAACUCCAAAAAUCAGAAAAUGGAGUCAGGAGCCCCCAGUCAAUGGUUAACCUGCUGGGCCAAGGCAUUCAAAUCACCUAGGCCACUGUUUCUCAACCUUUCUUCCUGGUACUCGCAGUUCUACUUCUUUGCGUAGAACUGAGACUCAGCCAUGGGUGAUUCUCUCUUACUGUGAGGGUGGGAAGUCAGGGCUUGCAGCUGGAGAGCCAGGGAGGCCGCCGGCCACAGCUGGAGCCCGGAGGCAGAAUUCCCACACCAGCAACGGAACGCAUUCUGCUUUACUCAAGGAUCGCAGGCAUCUGUGUUAGCUUAACAUCACCUUCACAGAAACAUCUAGGCUGACGUUUGUCCAAGCACGCCCUGGCCAAGCUGACAGGUGAAAUUAACCAUCACACAUACUACCUUCCUUAGUUUCAUUCCUACAGCGGUGAGAAAAUACACUAUCAAGAAGCCACAGAGGGGAAGGGUUUAUUUGAUUCCCAUGUCCAGGCUGCAGUCCAUUAUUUCAGGGAAGCGAAGGAAGGAACUCAAGCAGCUAGUCACACAACAGCCACAGUCAAGAGCAGAAAGAAGAUGCACCAUCUGCCUUGCCUAGUUUUUCUAAUUUCUUAAAUAUUUUUGUUUAUUCAUUUAUUCAUUCAUUUACUCAUUCAUGCCUGCUGGCUUCACUCUUUCAAAGUUCAGGGCCCAGACUAGGGAAUGAUGCUGCCCACACUGGGCAGGAUCCUCCUACAUCAAUCGGCAAUCCAGACAACUCGCCCCAGAUGUGCCUACAGAUGAACUGAACUGGAUAACUUCUCACUGAGACUCUCUCUUCCCAGAUGCCUAACCCUGGAGGCUGGGGGUUAAGUUUGUCUCCAUCCACACUGCCAUCGCCCUGGUCCGGGGAUGGAGGACACUGUAGAAAGCUGGGAGGACCACGAUGGUUACUUUGACAAUGGGGUGAGUGCUACCAGCAUUUGAUGAGCAGAUGAGCACUCUGUGAUCUUACCAUGUCUUCUAUGACAAAGACAUGGACAGGUCUGUGAGGGUGAACCCCCUUGUAGUUACUCAAGCUUAGAGCCCGUUUCUGGUUUUUGGUGCUGGACUAUAUUGUCAUAUAGCAACGUAACAAUGUACACACGUACCCGAGUUCAUGUCUCUGUCUCAGCACCAAAAGUGGUUUUCCCUAAGGAGGACUCUGCGUGUAGUUCACACCCACCACCUCCUUCCAGCCCUGACUCCAUCAUUACCUGAUAGCAGACCCCCACCCCCCUCAUUGCUUGGGCCAGGACUCCCAUGUUGUCACAGCAGGCCCACCCCGGCUGCGGUGGACCUCCCGCAUUCAUCGUGAACCCCUCAACACAAACUAACUCCUAUUCCUUUUCUGACUCUAUUAGCUCACCUUUCUUCCCUUCCUAGUUCCCAUCCUCGGGGGAAAGCCCUUGCUCCCUGAUCAAUCAAUUAAUCGGGACUUUGAACCCAAAACUGUCAUUUGCAAGCAAAUGCAACCCUCUCUUUUCCUGCCUAAGAGAUAAACAAAGAAUCUGGACAGCACAAAAUGGUCCUGGAGAUGGUCCAUAUACUCCGAUACUCAGAGAAGUCACGAGGAGCCCAUGUCUAGGUUCUGGUACUGCAGCUCCCUUGGGUCAUUGGAGCUAGCGCUAUGGCCUUGCAGUUUUGCAGGGAUUCCACAAAGCCCUCUGCUUCUGCAGGCCCUGAAUCCACAAACUCAGCCAACCUUAUAUUUAAAAUGUUCAGGGAGAAGAUAGAGGAGACGGUACUGUGGAUAAAGCAUUUGCCAUGCAAGCAUUAGGACCAGAAAACACCCUCCCAGGUCGUGAGGGAUGGGCCUUCGAAGGCGAUCGCCCAGCUCUGGUUCCGAUCAAGCUUCUUGGCUCCUGCCAGAUAAGGAUUCUCCCCUAUUCACUCCUGCUGUCAUCAGCACUGCUGCGUCUCCCCCAGAUGAGGAGCUCACAUCUCCCUGAGAACUGUGGUGUCUCCCUUUAGACACCUGCCUGUUGUGAGGAGAUGGCUCCAUCAGUCAAGGGCCUGCCCUACAAGCAUUAGGAACUGAGUUAAAUCCUAGAACCCAUGUACAGUUGUGGAUGUGGUGGUACGUACUUGUAACCCUGACCCUGGGGAAGCAGACACAGGACAAUCACGGAGGCUGGCUGGCUAGCCCUUCUAGCCUUGUUGGUGACUUCCAGACCGGUGAGGGAGGCCCUGUCACAAAGGACAUAUCCAAAGGAUGGCAGAGAAUGACACCCAGGGUUGUCUUCUGGCCUCUACUCACAUAUUCACAUACAUACAUACAUGUGUGCGCUCAUACACACAUGAACACGCAGAUAAAUAAGUAGGCAAUUGAAAAAGAAUUUACAGUAUUAUGUAGAAAGGUGGAGUACCACAGAUGAGAGGAAAAGAGGAAGGAGAAGUUUCCCAGGGGAAGCAGAGCCAUCGUCCUCCUGCAAAGACACUGUUUAUAGUCUCUGAACAUAAGGGCAACCCUGUAAGCUCUUAUGUUGAUCUGCUCUGGAGGGGAGCUGGUUCAGCGAGAAGAGGAUGGCUGGCCGGUGAGGAUACAGAGCCCCAGAGGCUAGGACUGACUUUGAAGAACAGCGAAAGAAGGAAAUGAGUCAUUUGAAAACUCUGAGGUGGGGAAAGGUCAUGUGGAAAGCACUCGGGGUGAGGUUGGGGCAAUGGUGGCAGCUGCCUGUUGCUUGGCCAGGCACGGCGGAGAGCUCUGCUCGCCACAAUCUCGACACCCCGUGAACAGACCUCUGCAGCACUUGCUCUACUUCCUCUAUCUGCUGGGUCGAGGCCGCCUGCGGUCAAGUGGGGUUUGCAAUUCACAGCCGAGAGACUGAGGAACUGGCCCGCAGGCGCCUCACACGUGCAGGGUUGAGGGAAGUCUGUGGCCCACCAGAGGCCCAGGCAUCUGGAACACCAGCCAGGACUGGCCACGAGAAUGCUACAGUCCAGAAGUUGGUCUCAAAGGGAGCUUUGCCUCAAGCGCAUUCACACCAGACCCAGGUCUCCAGAACACAUUCUGUGGCUCUCUCCCCUGCCCUGAGGAAGAGGAAGCUGCUGGGUCUGAGGUUUCGUGAACAGAAGGACCAGACCUAUAUUGCUGCAGCUCAGAGAAUUUCACUGAAUUCCCUUCUUCUGUGAAGCCUCUGACACACACACACAUGCAUUUCAUACCAAGAAGGUUCUCUCUCCACAAACCUCCUUCACAAUUCUUGCCACAGGCCUUCUUUUCUGCAGGAAACCACUGCCACACACUUCCUGGAAAAAGCAGAAGCUGUCACUGGGGACUCUCUCACCUGCCUCUUCCAGAUACACAUGGUGCCUAUCUUCAUUUCCUCCCUUAAAAAGCAUGCCAACCAAGUCCCUGCUUCUACGGAGAGUCAGCCCUUCUCUGCAUCCCCGGACUCUCCUCACCUAAUCCCAACUACUUCAGUCUCGUCUGUGUCUCUCUUUAUACACACACCCCUCUCCCUAGGGUCAUUCUCAAAAGACUAUGGCCGUGUCCAACAACCUGCCAUCUUCAAAACAUCACCUUAGCAGUGACAUGUCUUUUUUAAUGGCUGUUGUGUGACAGACUUUUCCUGGGGACAUGCAACACACAUGUCUACUCAUCUCGAUGGGCAGCCCGUGACAGACUAAAGUAGAAAUGUCUCCAGAGUCCACCAGUGAGCUUUACCAGGGUCACUCACAGGAACAGAAGUGACCCAAACACAACACCAAAGCCCACCCCAGCACGGUGAGAGCUCGCAGAAGCUGGAGCAUGCUGUGCAGGCUGCAGGCAGCUCAACAGGUUGGAAGGUGUCCUUUCUAAGUGGUUCAGUUGAUCAGAGCCCCUUCCAAGCAGCUUGGCUGGGUUCUGCUUCUUCCAGGCUGCUCUGCUGGUCUUGGAGUUUCUUUGCGGUUUGGUUCCCCUGAGAGUUGUUUAUUUGUUUGUUUGUUUUACAGUCUUCACUGUUUACUCUUGGGAUGGAGGAGCUUAGUGAAUCUUGUCAGCUUCAGGAACUUCCUGAAGACAUUUUGAGUUGUUUGCUUUCUAUCUUAAGGAGCUUCCCUGGAGGAUGCCAUGUUUCAAUCUGGAAGGAAAUUGCCACACAAAGGUAGCUAAAACCCAACACUGAUAAUAAGUGCUCCCAAGGAUGUGGGACACAGGAGCGUUCAUUCAUUGCUGGUGGGAGUACAAAAUGACACUGUAUUAUAACAUGUCUAUGUCAUAACAUGCAACCAAGUAGUCAUCAAAGUGAAUCAAAAACUCGUAUCUAUGGGCUGGAGGGAUGGCUCAGUGAUCGCAUAGGACCUGGCUUGGGUUCCUGGAACGCACACGGUGCCUCACAACCCUCCUUGACUGCAGUUGCAGGGGAUCUAAUGCUCUCUUCUGACUUCUGUUGUCAUUCCAUACAGGUGGCACACAUACAUCCGUGCAGGCAACACACCCCUCUUACAAAGUGAAGUAAAUCUAAAAACAAUUUAAGCAGAUGUUUUUAACUUAAAAGUCCAUUUUUUUCCUUUCAAGGAUCAUAGUUGCAUCUAAUAAAAUUUCACCCAACCCA